rnacentral:miRNA from 1 species
UUGGUUGGUUAAAAAGUUUGUUUGGAUUUUUCUGUAACAUCUUAUGGAAAUCUCGAAUGAACAUUUUUGGCCAACCCAA